CUGACCUCAAAUCAGGUAGGACUACCCGCUGAACUUAAGCAUAUCAAUAAGCGGAGGAAAAGAAACUAACAAGGAUUCCCCUAGUAACGGCGAGUGAAGCGGGAAGAGCUCAAAUUUGAAAUCUGGCGGUCUUCGGCCGUCCGAGUUGUAGUUUCGAGAAGCGUUUUCCGCGUCGGACCGUGUACAAGUCCCUUGGAACAGGGCGUCGUAGAGGGUGAGAAUCCCGUCUUUGACACGGACUGCCGGUGCUCUGUGAUGCGCUCUCAAAGAGUCGAGUUGUUUGGGAAUGCAGCUCAAAAUGGGUGGUAAAUUCCAUCUAAAGCUAAAUAUUGGCGAAAGACCGAUAGCGAACAAGUACCGUGAGGGAAAGAUGAAAAGCACUUUGGAAAGAGAGUUAAACAGUACGUGAAAUUGUUGAAAGGGAAACGCUUGAAGUCAGUCGCGUCUCUCGGGACUCAGCCUUGCUCUUCUGCUUGGUGCACUUCCCGAGGCGACGGGCCAGCAUCGAUUUCGACCGUCGGAGAAAGGCUUUGGGAACGUGGCACCUCCGGGUGUGUUAUAGCCCAUGGUCGUAUGCGACGGCUGGGAUCGAGGUUCGCAGCACGCCUUCAUUGGCCGGGGUUCGCCCACGUAACGUGCUUAGGAUGCUGGCGUAAUGGCUUUAAACGACCCGUCUUGAAACACGGACCAAGGAGUCUAACAUGCCUGCGAGUGUUUGGGUGGAAAACCCGGACGCGUAACGAAAGUGAAAGGUUGGGACCUCUGUCGUGGAGGGCACCGACGCCCGGACCAGACCUUCUGUGACGGUUCCGAGGUAGAGCAUGUAUGUUGGGACCCGAAAGAUGGUGAACUAUGCCUGAGUAGGGUGAAGCCAGAGGAAACUCUGGUGGAGGCUCGUAGCGAUUCUGACGUGCAAAUCGAUCGUCGAACUUGG
rnacentral:rRNA from 1 species